AGUCGCGACGAUAGCAGGUUGAAUGCAUAAGUUUCCGAUGGAUCACUGAAGUUAAGCAACGUCCCGCGUGGUUAGUAUCCGGAUGGGUGACCAUCUGGGCAAUCGUGUGUUGUUGAAUU
rnacentral:rRNA from 1 species